rnacentral:rRNA from 1 species
GUGGGGAAUCUUGCGCAAUGGGCGAAAGCCUGACGCAGCCAUGCCGCGUGAAUGAUGAAGGUCUUAGGAUUGUAAAAUUCUUUCACCGGGGACGAUAAUGACGGUACCCGGAGAAGAAGCUCCGGCUAACUUCGUGCCAGCAGCCGCGGUAAUACGAAGGGGGCUAGCGUUGCUCGGAUUUACUGGGCGUAAAGGGCGCGUAGGCGGACAUUUAAGUCAGGGGUGAAAUCCCGGGGCUCAACCUCGGAACUGCCUUUGAUACUGGGUGUCUUGAGUAUGAGAGAGGUGUGUGGAACUCCGAGUGUAGAGGUGAAAUUCGUAGAUAUUCGGAAGAACACCAGUGGCGAAGGCGACACACUGGCUCAUUACUGACGCUGAGGCGCGAAAGCGUGGGGAGCAAACAGGAUUAGAAACCCGAGUAGUCC